rnacentral:rRNA from 1 species
GACGAACGCUGGCGGCGUGCCUAAUACAUGCAAGUAGAACGCUGAAGAGAGGAGCUUGCUCUUCUUGGAUGAGUUGCGAACGGGUGAGUAACGCGUAGGUAACCUGCCUUGUAGCGGGGGAUAACUAUUGGAAACGAUAGCUAAUACCGCAUAACAAUGGAUGACACAUGUCAUUUAUUUGAAAGGGGCAAUUGCUCCACUACAAGAUGGACCUGCGUUGUAUUAGCUAGUAGGUGAAGUAAUGGCUCACCUAGGCGGCGAUACAUAGCCGACCUGAGAGGGUGAUCGGCCACACUGGGACUGAGACACGGCCCAGACUCCUACGGGAGGCAGCAGUAGGGAAUCUUCGGCAAUUGGGGCAACCCUGACCGAGCAACGCCGCGUGAGGGAAGAAGGGUUUCGGAUCGUAAAGCUCUGUUGUAAGUCAAGAACGGGUGUGGGAGUGGAAAGUUCACACUGUGACGGUAGCUUACCAGAAAGGGACGGCUAACUACGUG